rnacentral:rRNA from 1 species
UACGGAGGAUGCAAGCGUUAUCCGGAAUUACUGGGCGUAAAGCGUGCGCAGACGGUUGCGUAAGUCAGAUGUGAAAGCCCCGGGCUCAACCUGGGAAUUGCAUUUGAGACUGCGUAGCUAGGGUGCGGAAGAGGGAAGCGGAAUUUCCGGUGUAGCGGUGAAAUGCGUAGAUAUCGGAAGGAACACCAGUGGCGAAAGCGGCUUCCUGGUCCAGCACCGACGUUCAGGCACGAAAGCGUGGGGAGCAAACAGG